rnacentral:misc_RNA from 1 species
GUGCCAGUAACAAUGAGAAACCUUUUCUUUAACCUUUGGGCUCUUCUGUGCAUUAUUUCUCUUUUGGGAACGCUACGAGAUAGUAGACAAGGAUGCGUUCUUGCUGGGGGUCCUAUGACUGGUCCGAAGACUCGUCCAGUCAGAUCGGCACCACCUGUGAGGCCCCCUCCGCCUCCUCCAACCCCUCGACCACGCCUAACUCCUCCGCCAAAACGUCCGAGAGAUAAUUAUAAGGCACCGAAUGGGCAGACACACUCAUGGUGGACGUUCACGACGCCGACAUAAAUAUAAGGCACCGAAUGGGCAGACACACUCAGGUGGACGUUCACGAAGCCAACCAAACUUUAAGGCACCGAGUGGGCAGACACACUCAAGUAGACGUUCACGAAGCCCGGAAGACCCGGAGAAGAGAAAACGGCGGCUGGAAAGAAUUAGCAGAAUAAUGUGAUGACGACUACCCCGACUCUUCUCUGGCUUGGUGCUGCACCAUCAUGUUCGUUAUAAACACGCUGACAAUAAAUGUUUUGCUUUA